CCUAAUUUUUUUAUGUGGGAUCUUUUUUAGUAUUUUUUUGGGUAUUUUUAUUCUAAUUUUUGCAAGCAUAUUUUUUUUUUGUUUUUGGGGGCAUUUAUUGUUUUUUCUUCAGCAGUAUGUCUAAAGACGAGAAGCUCAUUAUUCCAAUCGAUAAUCCCUUGUUGCCAACUAAUCCUGUGAAGCUUGAUAGACAUAAUUACCUUUCUUAGUCAGGGUCCUGCUUGUAGCUUAUCAAGGCUCGUGGCUUGUAGGGAUACAUCACCGGUAAACCAUUGAAACCUAAACUGACUGAUUCAACCUUUA
rnacentral:lncRNA from 1 species